CCCGCUGAACUUAAGCAUAUCAAUAAGCGGAGGAAAAGAAACUAACAAGGAUUCCCCUAGUAACGGCGAGUGAAGCGGGAACAGCUCAAAUUUGAAACCUGGCGUCCUUCGGGCGUCCGGAUUGUAUUCUAGAGAAGCGUCUUCCACGCUGGUCCAUAUAUAAGUGCCCUGGAACGGGCUGUCAUAGAGGGUGAGAAUCCCGUCCUUGACAUGGGCUACCAGUGUUUUUGUGAUGCGCUUUCUAAGAGUCGAGUUGUUUGGGAAUGCAGCUCAAAGUGGGUGGUAAAUUCCAUCUAAAGCUAAAUAUUGGCCUGAGACCGAUAGCGAACAAGUACCGUGAGGGAAAGAUGAAAAGCACUUUGAAAAGAGAGUCAAACAGUACGUGAAAUUGCUGAAAGGGAAACGCUUGAAGUCAGUCGCGCCCCCUGGAAUUCAGCCCUGCUUUUGUAGGGUGUACUUUCCAGGGGGCGGGUCAACAUCAGUUUCGACCGGCAGAUAAAGGCCGGGGGAAUGUGACUCCUUUCGGAGUGUUAUAGUCUCUAGUCGCAUGCAAGGGUCGGGAUUGAGGAACUCAGCACGCGCCUUCGGGCGUCGGGGUUCGCCCACGAUACGUGCUUAGGAUGUUGGCGUAAUGGCUUUAAACGACCCGUCUUGAAACACGG
rnacentral:rRNA from 1 species